AGCGAACGUUUGCGGCGGGCCUAACACAUGCAAGUCGAACGCACUAGCAAUAGUGAGUGGCGCACGGGUGCGUAACACGUGGGUAAUCAACCCUUCAGCCUGGGAUAACGACUCGAAAGGGUCGCUAAUACCGGAUACGGCGCGAGAGGCUUCGGCUUCUCACGAGAAAGCCACGCAAGGGGCACUGAAGGACGAGCCUGCGGCCCAUCAGCUAGUCGGUGAGGUAAGAGCUCACCAAGGCUAAGACGGGUAGCUGGUCUGAGAGGAUGAUUAGCCACACUGGAACUGAGACACGGUCCAGACUCCUACGGGAGGCAGCAGUGGGGAAUAUUGCGCAAUGGGCGAAAGCCUGACGCAGCCACGCCGCGUGAGCGAUGAAGGCCUUCGGUCGUAAAGCUCUGUGGGAGGAGACGAAGAAAGACCUGUGAAGAGCAGGCCUUGACGGUAGUCUCCUUAGCAAGCACCGGCUAACUCCGUGCCACG
rnacentral:rRNA from 1 species